rnacentral:lncRNA from 1 species
UGCAGUACCUAUUUCUCGUAUCUUACAAAAAGCAGGAUGGUCAGAUGUUUUUAACAUUUGCAAAAUUUUAAAAUAAAAAAAUUGAAAAAGAUGAAAAUUCUUUCAGCUUUAAUGUGUUGAAGAAUUAAUCAUAAGGUAAGACAUUAUAUAUUUCUUAUCUUAGUAUUCAGUUUUAUCAUUAUGGCUUUAAAGUCUCAUUUGGUCCCGGAAGUGUUACAACGAAAUAAAAUUUAACAAUUAAACGAGUCUUUACUCACAGCCUUGGUAAAAGGCGAAGUUUAAUUGUAAUUUUAUGAGUUGUGUAAACACUGAAGGGAUGAAAUGCCACACCCUCCCUCCCUAGUUAAGGGAGACCAAUAUGUACACUUAUAUGGGUUAUAUGUAUAUAUAUAUUUCGUUGUUUGUCAUAUUGAUAAAACUUUACUUUGAAGACUGAAGUUCACAUAGAUGCGCAGCACA